rnacentral:rRNA from 1 species
UACAGAGGUGGCAAGCGUUGUUCGGAAUUACUGGGCGUAAAGGGCGCGUAGGCGGCCUUCUAAGUCGGACGUGAAAUCCCCAGGCUUAACUUGGGAACUGCGUCUGAUACUGGAAGGCUUGAGUGCGGGAGAGGGAUGUGGAAUUCCAGGUGUAGCGGUGAAAUGCGUAGAUAUCUGGAGGAACACCGGUGGCGAAGGCGGCAUCCUGGACCGACACUGACGCUGAGGCGCGAAAGCCAGGGGAGCAAACGGG